UACGAAGGGGGCUAGCGUUGUUCGGAAUUACUGGGCGUAAAGCGCAUGUAGGCGGCGAUGUCAGUCAGAGGUGAAAUCCCAGGGCUCAACCCUGGAACUGCCUUUGAUACUGCGUCGCUUGAGUUCGGAAGAGGGUGGUGGAAUAUCCAGUGUAGAGGUGAAAUUCGUAGAUAUUGGAUGGAACACCAGUGGCGAAGGCGACCACCUGGUCCGAUACUGACGCUGAGAUGCGAAAGCGUGGGGAGCAAACAGG
rnacentral:rRNA from 1 species